GACGAACGCUGGCGGCGUGCCUAAUACAUGCAAGUAGAACGCUGAAGGAGGAGCUUGCUCUUCUGGAUGAGUUGCGAACGGGUGAGUAACGCGUAGGUAACCUGCCUGGUAGCGGGGGAUAACUAUUGGAAACGAUAGCUAAUACCGCAUAACAGUAGAUGUUGCAUGACAUUUGCUUAAAAGGUGCAAUUGCACCACUACCAGAUGGACCUGCGUUGUAUUAGCUAGUUGGUGGGGUAACGGCUCACCAAGGCGACGAUACAUAGCCGACCUGAGAGGGGGAUCGGCCACACUGGGACUGAGACACGGCCCAGACUCCUACGGGAGGCAGCAGUAGGGAAUCUUCGGCAAUGGACGGAAGUCUGACCGAGCAACGCCGCGUGAGUGAAGAAGGUUUUCGGAUCGUAAAGCUCUGUUGUAAGAGAAGAACGAGUGUGAGAGUGGAAAGUUCACACUGUGGCGGUAUCUUACCAGAAAGGGACGGCUAACUACGUG
rnacentral:rRNA from 1 species